GGGAGUACGGAGUACCCUCGGUAAAACGAGGGCCUUGAUGCGGCUGGCCGGACGCUUCUUGCAUGGCCGGGGAUAGCGAUAGGAGGUGAACGAAAGACCUUCCGUUCGUUGGAAACGUUCACCGAGUACCCGGUUUCAUGGCCAUUGCCGCUAUGGAGUUUACAACGCGCUCCAACAAUAACGCUCUACGAGGUGUCUAUCCCAUUAUGACAAGCG
rnacentral:sRNA from 12 species